UGGGGAAUAUUGCACAAUGGGCGAAAGCCUGAUGCAGCGACGCCGCGUGAGGGAUGACGGCCUUCGGGUUGUAAACCUCUUUCAGCAGGGAAGAAGCGAAAGUGACGGUACCUGCAGAAGAAGCGCCGGCUAACUACGUGCCAGCAGCCGCGGUAAUACGUAGGGCGCAAGCGUUGUCCGGAAUUAUUGGGCGUAAAGAGCUCGUAGGCGGUUAGUCGCGUCUGCUGUGAAAACUCGAGGCUCAACCUCGGGCUUGCAGUGGGUACGGGCUGACUAGAGUGCGGUAGGGGUGACUGGAAUUCCUGGUGUAGCGGUGGAAUGCGCAGAUAUCAGGAGGAACACCGAUGGCGAAGGCAGGUCACUGGGCCGCAACUGACGCUGAGGAGCGAAAGCAUGGGGAGCGAACAGGAUUAGAUACCCUGGUAGUCCAUGCCGUAAACGUUGGGCACUAGGUGUGGGUCCAUUCCACGGAUUCCGUGCCGCAGCAAACGCAUUAAGUGCCCCGCCUGGGGAGUACGGCCGCAAGGCUAAAGCUCAAAUGAAUUGACGGGGUCAUAGCUGUUUCCU
rnacentral:rRNA from 1 species